rnacentral:rRNA from 1 species
GACGAACGCUGGCGGCGUGCUUAACACAUGCAAGUCGAACGGUGAACGAGGGAGCUUGCUCCCUCCGGAUCAGUGGCGAACGGGUGAGUAACACGUGAGCAAUCUGCCCCGAACUCUGGGAUAAGCGUUGGAAACGACGUCUAAUACCGGAUACGACGCGGGAGGGCAUCCUCUCCGCGUGGAAAGAACUUCGGUUCGGGAUGAGCUCGCGGCCUAUCAGCUUGUUGGUGAGGUAACGGCUCACCAAGGCGACGACGGGUAGCCGGCCUGAGAGGGUGACCGGCCACACUGGGACUGAGACACGGCCCAGACUCCUACGGGAGGCAGCAGUGGGGAAUAUUGCACAAUGGGCGCAAGCCUGAUGCAGCAACGCCGCGUGAGGGACGACGGCCUUCGGGUUGUAAACCUCUUUUAGCAGGGAAGAAGCGAAAGUUACGGUACCUGCAGAAAAAGCACCGGCUAACUACGU